ACUACAUCGCCGAACGGCACAACGCAGCAAGCAUGGGGCAUCUCGACCAGUGGCGUUCUCGCCAGAAGAUCGGCAUGGGCAAGGGCGCCCGCUGCUGCGUCAUUUGCUCCAACCAGAAGGCGCUGAUCCGCAAGUACGAGCUGAACGUGUGCCGUCAGUGCUUCCGUGAAAACGCCGAGCACAUCGGCUUCACCAAGCUGCGCUGAGGAACUAGCCAUGCCAAGGGAGCGCAUGAAAACGAGAGAGGAGGCAAAGACCCCAGAGAGAGAGCAGAUCAAGCGAUACGGGAGGCGUAAGUGAGUGAGCCAUGGAACGUAGAAGAUCGGAACCCUUUCCCCCUCCCCCGCCGCCGUCCGCCUUCCUGUGACUUUCUCUUCCUCGGCUAUUUGUCGAGCUUCGCGCCCCCUUCUCCCCGAACUUCACUCUUCCCUGCUCCUUCUCCCUUGUGUUUUGUGCACGUGUGUCUUGAGCGUGUGUAGUUCAUUGCCCCCCUUUUUUAGUCGUUUUCUCUUUUCGUUCGCACAUCUCGAUAUCAUGGCCGUGCUUCGCUCUUUCCUCCUCGCCUCCCCCGACGCAAGCAUGCACACGCCCACACACACAGACAGACAUGUGCGUGUGUGUCGUUCUCUCUCUCUCCGCGUGUCACUUAUCUGUUGAGGCCCUCACCCCCCUCCUCCUCCCCUCACGCAUCCUUUGUUGCCCGACACUUUCGGCAUUGUGGCUCGAGCCAUUCGCCGACGGGAUGGAGAGCGCACGCUAUCCGUGCGAGAGAGGUCGGACCGGCUCAGUGGUGGGGACAUGCAUUCGGCAUGGUAGACGACUCGGGGGAGGAGGAGGAUGGGGGCGGCACGUGACGUGGAAGUGGAGGGACGGCAGCGUCUUUUCGAAAUCCGAGAG
rnacentral:misc_RNA from 1 species